rnacentral:lncRNA from 10 species
CGAGUCGCUUAGAAACGUGAGAAAAUCUGCUCGAGCUAAGCUAUCUUUAAUAAUACCAAUUCUUCAGCGAGCUCCUCCUAGGUGGAUUCACAUAUAGGCCCCCCCAGAGAGAGGCACCUCUGCGGAAAUGAACAUUGACCUCACGUGGCUGAGUCUUCUGCAGCAAGGGGAUGCCAUCCCUGCGGCUCCUAGAGCCACGUGUUGCUGGGGCGCAUUUACACCUGGCACCGGGAUGGGCGGUGCGUUGAGGCGCUUGGAGGAUCCCACCUGGGCGGGGAGACUGAGCGCUGAUGUUAGCUGGAGCUGCCUCAGCAUUUUGUGUUCUUGAUCACAUUUCACAGGGAUUUCACUCCCGCCCGAGCACCCUCUUUCGGCUGCUGCUGAUGGGACGCGUGCAUCAAGAGAUCAGUGGACCCAGAGCGAGGUGUUACAAAGACGUUUAAGAAAUGGACUGGCAGCCAGGUGUGGUGGCUCACACCUGUAAUCCCAACACUUUGGGAGGCCAAGUUGGAUGGAUCCCUGGAGGUCAGGAGUUCAAGACCAGCCUGGCCAACAUGGUGAAACCCCAUCUCUACUAAAAAAUACAAAAGUUAGCCAGUCGUGGUGGUGUGCACCUGUAAUCCCAGCUACUCGGGAGGCUGAGGCAUGAGAAUCACUUCAACCCCAGAGGCAGAGGUUGCAGUGAGAUGAGAUCACACCACUGCACUCCAGCCUGGGUGACAGAGCAAGACUCCAUCAUAAAAUAAAAUUAAAUUAAAAUAAAAUAAAAUAAAAUAGGCCAUCCAUGGUGGCUCACACCUGUGGUCCCAGCUACUCGGGAGACUGAAGUGGGAGGAUCGAUUGAGCCCUGGAGGUCGAGGUUAUGGUGAACUGUGAUCACACCACUGCACUCCAGCUGGGCAACAGAACAAACCCCUGUGUCAAAAAAACAAAAGGGAAAAAAUUAGCUAGGCACAGUAAUGUGUGCCUGUAGUCCUAGCUACUCAGGAAGCUGAGGUGGGAGGAGCCAUUGACCCUAGGAGUCGGAGGCUGCAAUGAGCUAUGAUGGCACCACAGCACAUCAGCUUAGGCAACAGUGACCUUGACAAAAAAAG